rnacentral:sRNA from 1 species
GAAUAGCCCUGAUUGAAAUGAAAAUCCUCUUGAUUCUUUUAAAAGUUACACUACAAAAGAUUGCAAUGGAAAGCAGGAGGUAAA